rnacentral:lncRNA from 10 species
AAUCUUUAGUGUUGUGAGCCCUUAAAAGGGACAGAAAUUUUGCACUCGGGGAGCUCAGAUUUUAAGACAGUAGCUUGCUGAUGCUCCCAGCUGAAUAAAGCCCUUCCUUCUACAACUCGGUGUCUGAGGGGUUUUGUCUGCAGCUCGUCCUGCUACAAUGGUGGUUCCUUUAUAGGAUAUUCAUGAUUCCCUACCUUGAAUCAAUGCCGCCAUCUUCCUUUUAACUCAGGGACUAUGAGAUACACAGGUCUUCAAUGCCAGUCACCUCAUGGACUCACCACCUAGUUUAUCAAGGAGAAGUUGAUGCUGGGAGCAACUACAAAAAUGAAGCUACUCUGAUUUAGGUGGCACAGAAAAGCAGGCGAGGGUUUCUCCCUCCUGUCUCAUUUGAUCAUUUUUCAUGCUUUACCUGUGCUUCUAGGGGCCAAUCUAUCUUUUUUUUUUUUUUUCUGCCUUCUCUGCUUUAAAUGUUCCCAGUUCUGUCUGGAACUUGUCUUUGAACAAAGAAAGAUUUACUUCUUUCUUGAUUCUUUUAUUCCCCUCAUUUUUGUUUAUUCUCUUCCUGGCUCUUAGAGCUUUUCUCUUAACAUUGUGACUGGUGUAUCUAUUUUCUUCAUCUCUCACCUCCUGCCCAUGAACUUAUUUAUGAGGAAAUGUGUAGGAUAAUAGAGCAACAAUUUGGCUUAAAGGGCUCUAGCUGUGUGACCCUAGGCACAUCAGUCAACUCCUUAUAAACAACAGGUUUCUUUUCUCUAAAAUGAGGAUGUUAGAUUCUAUUAUCUCAGUAGUUCAUCUCAGCACUAAUUUUCUAUGAUUCCUUUUCUCACAGUGCUGUCUACCUUGCAAGCCCAGUACAUGUAUAUUAGUUCCCUAUUGCUGCUGUAACAAAUUGCCACCAGCUUAAUGGUUUAAAGCAAGGCAAAUUUGUUAUUUUAUAUUUCUGUAGAUCAGACAUCUGGCACGGUGCCCUUGUGCUAAAAUUAGAGUGCUGACAAGCCUAUGGUUCUUUCUGGAGCCUUCAGGGAAGAAUUGGUUACCUUGCGUUUUCCAGCUUUUGAGAGCACCUGCAUCCCUUGGGUCAUGCCCUUUUCCUCCAUUUUCAAAGUCCAAAACAGGAUGUCAAGUCCUUCUUUCUUUGCAUCUCUUUGAACAACUGUAGCCAAAAAGAUUCUCCAUUCUAAGGACUCCUGUGAUUUGAUUGGGAGCCUCUACAUCAUUCAGGAGAAUCCUCUGACCUCAAGUUCUGUAACCUGAAUCACAUCAUAAGAGAAGGUAUGGCUCACCUGAGGACCUUCUGACCUGCUUCAGGGAAAGGUCAAAAGUUUCUUCCUAGGUUUUAUGACCUGUUUCAGUGGAGAAGGGUAGCCCGAAUGCCAUGUCUUCACAUUUUAUUCCACUUGGAUCUCCUGUAGAAUGGCUGUUUACCAUGGAAGGGCUGAUUCCAAUUCUCACGUUAAUCACUUACAAGGCAGAAACCAGCUAGUCUAGACUGGUAAAGGGCUUUCCAGUUCAUUCAUCAGCCUCCUCUGAUUCUCUCAGGGCUCAUUCAGAUGUUCCCAAUCCUUUCACAAGAUUACAAUUCAACACAUAUGGAAGCACAAAAAAAAAUGCUGAUUUCCCCACAUAAAUAAUAAUUAAUUACUAAUGAAGAUAAUGGUGACAGACUAUGGGACUUAAGAAAAAACCUACGAGGAUGUAUCACAAGACAAAUCCUUCUAAAAAUUAAACUAUUUGCAGACAAUCAGAAAGUCAAAACUAACAAUCUCUUAAACAUUUCUCAGAUAUGGCUGUAAUAACAUAGCAUUCCUAUAAAAAUGAACUUUUAGGUUAAAUAUAUCUUUACACAUACAUGCACUUGCACCCACAUGUACACACAAUCUAUUUUUGGAUCUACUGAAUAAAGCAUCAUUAUUUAAAGUGAAGCAAUAAAAGUUUCAACGUCUUUUUUUCUAAGUAUUAGCCUUGAAGUUAUUCACCCUAACCAAA